rnacentral:rRNA from 1 species
GACGAACCGUGCGAACGUUGUUCGGAAUCACUGGGCUUAAAGGGCGCGUAGGCGGGUCAGCAAGUCCGGGGUGAAAUCUUUCAGCUCAACUGGAAAAGUGCCUUGGAUACUGCUGGUCUUGAGGGAGGUAGGGGCGUGUGGAACUUCUGGUGGAGCGGUGAAAUGCGUUGAUAUCAGAAGGAACGCCGGUGGCGAAAGCGGCGCGCUGGACCUCUUCUGACGCUGAGGAGCGAAAGCUAGGGGAGCAAACGGG